CGAAAAAUCCUGAAAGCAAAUUUAUUCUUUGAAAUUGAUUUUUUGAAGAAAUCGAAGUUACUAUCGAGAUGCAGAUUCAGAAGGCAGAACCAACUAUGUAGGGCCAAAAACUUUCGGCCAAUUAGCACCCAAGCUGACAAGCAUGGAAAAUCAAUAUCUCGGGAGAAUCUUAAAUAGCAACUGGAGCCGACAUACGAUAGAAAGGUGGAGGAAAGCUAUUGCUGCACUCUCUACAGACCUAUUCUUUUCUACUAGCUUACAGUAUGGUGCUCGGCACUAGAAAAAAUUACUUUUAGGAGUAUCGGACUACAGUGCACACCCAAAUAUUGCCUUCGCAAUAUCGAAUUGGAAAAUGCGAAUGUUCCGGACCAGUGUGACAAAGCUCGACGAGGGCUCUAAACUCGAGAAGUUGUGAGAAGUCCACCACAGCAUUAUUACAAUGAGUUUUCAGGCAGCUCCAAAGAAUUGAGCCCAAAGCAACCACCUCAGUUGCUUCACCUCCGUUACAGAUGCAUCGUUGGAGUAUUUUUCAGCCAAAAUCGCUAAAAUAGAUUGUAUAGUAACUUUAGAGACCAGUUUGGAUUCACAAUGAGUCUUCUCAAUGCUGAUGCGGUUCGUGAAAGUUCGCGUUUAAGCAGACGGAUUGACAGACAGGCUGGCGUGACAAAAAAAACAACUCAGCUCGUUAUUCGGAUCAUAUCGGUAUAGAUUUGUGUGAGUCUGUCUUCUGCUUCUGGUCUUUUUGUACUUUGGACCAAACGUAAUACACAACUCCAAGUUUAUAAGAGGUAUAAAUCAAGAAUCUGACAAUGAUAAAUUCCGAGAUUAAAAAAGCUUUGUGAAGUAUUUUGAACCAUUGAAGUUCAGGUCGUUUUCAAAUGUAAAUAAAUAGAAUUACAUUUCCUCUAUGUAACUUUCUAAAAAAAUUAUGAACCCAUUAAAAGCAUGU
rnacentral:lncRNA from 1 species